UAUGCUUAGCCGUAAAAUAUUAACCUACACUUAGCCCGCCAGGGAAUUACGAGCUCAAGCUUAAAACCCAAAGGACUUGACGGUGCCCCAUCCCUCUAGAGGAGCCUGUUCUAUAAUCGAUUCUCCCCGAUCUACCUCGCCGUUUCUUGAAUAUCCAGUCUGUAUACCUCCGUCGCAAGCUUACCAUGUGAACGUACACAGUGAGCCUAACGAUCCACCAUCCACACGUCAGGUCAAGGUGCAGCCUACGGAACGGAAAGAAAUGGGCUACAAUCUCUAUCUUAGAACAAACGGAAGACUGUAUGAAACACAGUCACUGAAGGCGGAUUUAGUAGUAAAAAGAAAAUAGAGAGUUCUUUUUAACUGGGCGCUGGGACGCGUACACACCGCCCGUCACCCUCUUCAAACAGAAGACUUAAAAGUCACUAACACCACCCAAUUAAAUAGAAGAGGCAAGUCGUAACAUGGUAAGUGUACUGGAAAGUGCACUUGGAAUAACAAAAUGUAGCUUAAUAAAAGUAUCCUGCUUACACCAAGACCAUGUCUGUGAAAUCCAAACCAUUUUGAGCCUAAACCCAAGCCCUACUAACCUACCCACAUGAAUUUUCUCUUUCCUUUUUUUCCCCCAUAAAACAUUCUUUUGACUAAGUAAAGGCGAUUAAAAAGUUUCUAGGAGCCCUAGCACCAGUACCGCAAGGGAAAAGUGAAAUAAAAAUGAAAUAAAUUUAAAGCGCUACAAAGUAGAGAUUCC
rnacentral:rRNA from 1 species